AUUGAACGCUGGCGGCAGGCCUAACACAUGCAAGUCGAAUGGUAACAGGAAACAGCUUGCUGUUUCGCUGACGAGUGGCGGACGGGUGAGUAAUGUCUGGGAAACUGCCUGAUGGAGGGGGAUAACUACUGGAAACGGUAGCUAAUACCGCAUAACGUCGCAAGACCAAAGAGGGGGACCUUCGGGCCUCUUGCCAUCAGAUGUGCCCAGAUGGGAUUAGCUAGUAGGUGGGGUAACGGCUCACCUAGGCGACGAUCCCUAGCUGGUCUGAGAGGAUGACCAGCCACACUGGAACUGAGACACGGUCCAGACUCCUACGGGAGGCAGCAGUGGGAAAUAUUGCACAAUGGGCGCAAGCCUGAUGCAGCCAUGCCGCGUGUAUGAAGAAGGCCUUCGGGUUGUAAAGUACUUUCAGCGGGGAGGAAGGGAGUAAAGUUAAUACCUUUGCUCAUUGACGUUACCCGCAGAAGAAGCACCGGCUAACUCCGUG
rnacentral:rRNA from 1 species